AAGAUCCUGCUGUUCCUACUGUCAGUUUUAACAUUAUUGUAAUGAUACAUUUAAACUGUAAUGGAAGAGACAGCAGGAUUU
rnacentral:pre_miRNA from 1 species